UACGGGGGGAGCAAGCGUUGUCCGGAAUCAUUGGGCGUAAAGCGCGUGUAGGCGGCCCGAUAAGUCCGCUGUGAAAGUCCAGGGCUCAACCCUGGAAUGCCGGUGGAUACUGUCGGGCUCGAGUCCGGAAGAGGCGAGUGGAAUCCUGGUGUAGCGGUGAAAUGCGCAGAUAUCAGGAGGAACACCGGUGGCGAAGGCGGGUCUCUGGGCCACUACUGACGCUGAGGAGCGAAAGCGUGGGGAGCGAACAGG
rnacentral:rRNA from 1 species